rnacentral:rRNA from 1 species
UACGGGAGGCAGCAGUGAGGAAUAUUGGUCAAUGGCCGAGAGGCUGAACCAGCCAUGCCGCGUGCGGGAGGACGGCCCUAUGGGUUGUAAACCGCUUUUUUGUGGGAGCAAUAAGGGUCACGUGUGACCUGAUGAGAGUACCAUGAGAAUAAGGAUCGGCUAACUCCGUGCCAGCAGCCGCGGUAAU